CCGGAGGCUAGUGGGGGGCGCUGGGAAAUGGAGUUCCGCUGCUCCGAAGGAGGGGCAGGGGGGAAGGUGUCUUCGCCUGCUUUUAAAGGGGACGGACCCAGAUUUCUCCGCGCACAGUCCGGCAGUCACAGAAAGGACGGUGUGGCCCCUUCCGUAAGUUGAGGCACCCAUAAGAAAGGAGCAGCCUGUCCUACAGACAAAGGUGACCUGUCCUUGCUGGGAAGUGAUUCUCAUUUCACCUGAAAUUCUACCACUGGUGUCCUUACAGGACGUCGAAAUCAUCUGUGAAAAACACUUGUGAAACGGAAAUUACUGAAAGGUAUUAAUAACGAUCAGUUAUUCAAAGAGAGUAGCAGAAAUACAGCUGGGGAGACAUAACUUGUUCACAUUUAAAAAAAAAAAAAAAAAAAAGGAAAGUUGAGAUCUUAAGGAAGUUUGCCAGAACGUGAAAUCUGAAAAGCCAGAGAAUGAAGCUACGCUUAUGGCUCUGCUUGAAUCUGGCCACACUCAGGUUUUUGACUUUUUUAUACUUGAAAACGAGGCUAUUAACUGCUUGGAGAGAGAGAGAGAGAGAGAGACAGAGAGAGAGAGAGAGAGAGAGAGAGAGAGAGAGAGAGAGAGAGAGAGAGAGACACUAUUUUGAAAGGCUUGCCUAGAUGGUGAAAAUGAACAGGGAAACUGUGCUGUGGGGGUGUAUUUACGUAUCUCAGAUGCACAGUAUGCACCCACUGGGUUUCAGGCUCUCCAGUAGGUGCACGGGACACAUCGGGGAGAGAGCUGCCAGCGCUCUCUGUAUCCCGACUGUUCUGUUUUUCUCCAUUCGUCCCUUUAGCGUUCAUCUGAAGGCCAAACUAACAAAGGUGUGUACUCCUCUCUUCCUAGUCAGUUUUACAGGCUCGCAGAGCUCCUAUUACAAACAGCUCAAGAACCAGCCCUAAUGUGUGUUUCUGCUUCCUGCCCCACAAAGCAUGUCCCCACCUGGGGACUCCCUGACACAUCAGUCAUAAAGGCAUAAUCUCAGUGCCCCCUCUCGCCCUGUCCUUCCUGCAGGUGACAUGGUUUUGUGCGGACCUCCGAGGUGUGCCAGGCCUCUUAUUUCUGGGUAUGUGGAGUGUAGCUAAGCUACUUCCUGGUGUCACUGUCUCAGCAUCCAUUUUGUUCGGCCAAGCGGCCUGCAGGGGACUUUACACUGACAUCCACUUCCUCAUGGAAGUACAUGCCCUAGAUUACAGCCUGAAGAGUCACAAGCAAAUGUAAGUUCCUGACAGGACUUCCCAAAGGCCCUUGUAAUGACCCCACCAUUCAACACCCUGUGCGGUACUUAAUAAAUGUUAAUCUACCAGUCACAACACAGGAGACUGUUGAGUAGCACAACUUGCCUUCCAAUGGCAUCGACCUCUCCAUGUUGCACUCAGUCACCUUGAUAAAUAAAGACCCUGGCGCAAUUCAAA